rnacentral:rRNA from 1 species
AAUAUUGCUCAAUUGGGGUAAGCUUAAUGCAGCAAUGACGUGGGAGUGAAGAGGCGUGCGGGUGGUAAAGCAAUUUCAAAAGUAAGAAAGAAAAGAUAUUAAUAACCAUAAGUCUUUACAUACUCUAUACAAGAAGCUCGGGCUAACUUCGUCCAAGCAGCCGCGGAAAUACGGAGGGUGCGAGCGUUAAUUGGAAUUAUUGGGGGUAAAGCGGGCGUAGGUGGUUCGUCAGUCGGAUGUAAGCCCCGAGUUCACCUGGAACUGCAUUCGUAUGCCUUGCAUGGUAUGGAGAGGGAAAGGAAUUGUGUUUUGGGUGAAAAUCGUUAAUUCCAGACGGAACAAGUGGCCAAGGCGGCCUCUUGGAACAAUAACACGCUGGAGGCGAGAAAGGGUGGAGCAAACACAGGAAUAUAUCCCGUUUUCUACCCCCC